rnacentral:rRNA from 1 species
ACACAUGCAAGUCGAGCGGAUGAAGGGAGCUUGCUCUCUGAUUCAGCGGCGGACGGGUGAGUAAUGCCUAGGAAUCUGCCUGGUAGUGGGGGACAACGUUUCGAAAGGAACGCUAAUACCGCAUACGUCCUACGGGAGAAAGUGGGGGAUCUUCGGACCUCACGCUAUCAGAUGAGCCUAGGUCGGAUUAGCUAGUAGGUGAGGUAACGGCUCACCUAGGCGACGAUCCGUAACUGGUCUGAGAGGAUGAUCAGUCACACUGGAACUGAGACACGGUCCAGACUCCUACGGGAGGCAGCAGUGGGGAAUAUUGGACAAUGGGCGAAAGCCUGAUCCAGCCAUGCCGCGUGUGUGAAGAAGGUCUUCGGAUUGUAAAGCACUUUAAGUUGGGAGGAAGGGCAGUAAGUUAAUACCUUGCUGUUUUGACGUUACCAACAGAAUAAGCACCGGCUAACUUCGUGCCAGCAGCCGCGGUAAUACGAAGGGUGCAAGCGUUAAUCGGAAUUACUGGGCGUAAAGCGCGCGUAGGUGGUUUGGUAAGAUGGAUGUGAAAUCCCCGGGCUCAACCUGGGAACUGCAUCCAUAACUGCCUGACUAGAGUACGGUAGAGGGUGGUGGAAUUUCCUGUGUAGCGGUGAAAUGCGUAGAUAUAGGAAGGAACACCAGUGGCGAAGGCGACCACCUGGACUGAUACUGACACUGAGGUGCGAAAGCGUGGGGAGCAAACAGGAUUAGAUACCCUGGUAGUCCACGCCGUAAAACGAUGUCGACUAGCCGUUGGAAUCCCUUGAGAUUUUAGUGGGCGCAGCUAACGCGAUAAGUCGACCGCCCUGGGGAG